CGGGUGUGGUGGCGCGUGCCUGUAAUCCAAGUUACCGGGAGGUUGAGACUGGUGGAUCGUUUGAGCUCAGGAUCUCUGAGCUGCAGUGGACUAUGUCGAUUGGGUGUCCCAAUAAGUUCGGUAUCGAUAUGGUGCUCCUGGGGGAGGCCGGGACCACCAGGUUGUCUAAGGAGGGGUGCACCGGCCCAGGUUGGAACGGAGCAGGCCAAAGCCCCCGUGCCGCUCAGUAGUGGAUCGCGCCUGUGAAUAGAGGCUGUAGUGAAGCCUGAGUAAUACAGCGGGACCCAGUCUUUU
rnacentral:SRP_RNA from 1 species